GACGAACGCUGGCGGCGUGCCUAAUACAUGCAAGUAGAACGCUGAAGGAGGAGCUUGCUUCUCUGGAUGAGUUGCGAACGGGUGAGUAACGCGUAGGUAACCUGCCUGGUAGCGGGGGAUAACUAUUGGAAACGAUAGCUAAUACCGCAUAAGAGUAGAUGUCGCAUGACAUUUGCUUAAAAGGUGCAAUUGCAUCACUACCAGAUGGACCUGCGUUGUAUUAGCUAGUUGGUGAGGUAACGGCUCACCAAGGCAACGAUACAUAGCCGACCUGAGAGGGUGAUCGGCCACACUGGGACUGAGACACGGCCCAGACUCCUACGGGAGGCAGCAGUAGGGAAUCUUCGGCAAUGGACGGAAGUCUGACCGAGCAACGCCGCGUGAGUGAAGAAUGUUUUCGGAUCGUAAAGCUCUGUUGUAAGAGAAGAACGAGUGUGAGAGUGGAAAGUUCACACUGUGACGGUAUCUUACCAGAAAGGGACGGCUAACUACGUG
rnacentral:rRNA from 1 species